UUAAAUAUAAACGUAACAAAGAAUCUCGCUUAGUCUCAGCCCAGAUUUUCAUCCAAAAUAUUGACAGAAAAUUAAGAAGCUAGAGAGAAAAUUGAGGGAAACUGGGAAGGUGGUAUGUGUAACAGGAGCAUCAGGCUGCAUAGCUUCAUGGCUGGUUAAGUUCUUACUACAACGGGGUUACACUGUCAGAGCCACUGUUCGUGACCCAAGUCACCCAAAAAAGUCAGAACAAAUGAUGCAUCUUGGAAGCUUUACUUUGAUGGAGCA